GAUGAACGCUGGCGGCGUGCCUAAUACAUGCAAGUCGAGCGAACAGACGAGGAGCUUGCUCCUCUGACGUUAGCGGCGGACGGGUGAGUAACACGUGGAUAACCUACCUAUAAGACGGGGAUAACUUCGGGAAACCGGAGCUAAUACCGGAUAAUAUAUUGAACCGCAGGGAUCAAUAGUGAAUGACGGUUUUGCUGUCACUUAUAGAUGGAUCCGCGCCGCAUUAGCUAGUUGGUAAGGUAACGGCUUACCAAGGCAACGAUGCGUAGCCGACCUGAGAGGAUGAUCGGCCACACUGGAACUGAGACACGGUCCAGACUCCUACGGGAGGCAGCAGUAGGGAAUCUUCCGCAAUGGGCGAAAGCCUGAUGGAGCAACGCCGCGUGAGUGAUGAAGGUCUUCGGAUCGUAAAACUCUGUUAUUAGGGAAGAACAACUGUGUAAGUAACUAUGCACGUCUUGACGGUACCUAAUCAGAAAGCCACGGCUAACUACGUG
rnacentral:rRNA from 1 species